rnacentral:rRNA from 1 species
AGAGUUUGAUCAUGGCUCAGAUUGAACGCUGGCGGCAUGCCUUACACAUGCAAGUCGAACGGCAGCACGGGUGCUUGCACCUGGUGGCGAGUGGCGAACGGGUGAGUAAUAUAUCGGAACGUACCCAGUAGUGGGGGAUAACUAUCCGAAAGGAUAGCUAAUACCGCAUACGAUCUAAGGAUGAAAGCAGGGGAUCUUCGGACCUUGUGCUAUUGGAGCGGCCGAUAUCUGAUUAGCUAGUUGGUGAGGUAAAAGCUCACCAAGGCGACGAUCAGUAGCUGGUCUGAGAGGACGACCAGCCACACUGGAACUGAGACACGGUCCAGACUCCUACGGGAGGCAGCAGUGGGGAAUUUUGGACAAUGGGCGCAAGCCUGAUCCAGCAAUGCCGCGUGAGUGAAGAAGGCCUUCGGGUUGUAAAGCUCUUUUGUCAGGGAAGAAAAGGUGCGCUCUAACAUAGCGUACUGAUGACGGUACCUGAAGAAUAAGCACCGGCUAACUACGUGCCAGCAGCCGCGGUAAUACGUAGGGUGCAAGCGUUAAUCGGAAUUACUGGGCGUAAAGCGUGCGCAGGCGGUUUUAUAAGUCUGAUGUGAAAUCCCCGGGCUCAACCUGGGAACUGCAUUGGAGACUGUAAGGCUAGAGUGUGUCAGAGGGGGGUAGAAUUCCACGUGUAGCAGUGAAAUGCGUAGAUAUGUGGAGGAAUACCGAUGGCGAAGGCAGCCCCCUGGGAUAACACUGACGCUCAUGCACGAAAGCGUGGGGAGCAAACAGGAUUAGAUACCCUGGUAGUCCACGCCCUAAACGAUGUCUACUAGUUGUCGGGACUUAAUUGUCUUGGUAACGCAGCUAACGCGUGAAGUAGACCGCCUGGGGAGUACGGUCGCAAGAUUAAAACUCAAAGGAAUUGACGGGGACCCGCACAAGCGGUGGAUGAUGUGGAUUAAUUCGAUGCAACGCGAAAACCUUACCUACCCUUGACAUGGCAGGAAUUCCGAAGAGAUUUGGAAGUGCUCGCAAGAGAACCUGCACACAGGUGCUGCAUGGCUGUCGUCAGCUCGUGUCGUGAGAUGUUGGGUUAAGUCCCGCAACGAGCGCAACCCUUGUCAUUAGUUGCUACGAAAGGGCACUCUAAUGAGACUGCCGGUGACAAACCGGAGGAAGGUGGGGAUGACGUCAAGUCCUCAUGGCCCUUAUGGGUAGGGCUUCACACGUCAUACAAUGGUACAUACAGAGGGCCGCCAACCCGCGAGGGGGAGCUAAUCCCAGAAAGUGUAUCGUAGUCCGGAUUGUAGUCUGCAACUCGACUACAUGAAGUUGGAAUCGCUAGUAAUCGCGGAUCAGCAUGUCGCGGUGAAUACGUUCCCGGGUCUUGUACACACCGCCCGUCACACCAUGGGAGCGGGUUCUGCCAGAAGUAGGUAGCUUAACCGUAAGGAGGGCGCUUACCACGGCAGGGUUCGUGACUGGGGUGAAGUCGUAACAAGGUAACCGUAGGGGAACCUGCGGUUG